rnacentral:rRNA from 1 species
GUAGGUGGCAAGCGUUGUCCGGAAUUAUUGGGCGUAAAGCGCGCGCAGGCGGUUCUUUAAGUCUGAUGUGAAAGCCCACGGCUCAACCGUGGAGGGUCAUUGGAAACUGGAGAACUUGAGUACAGAAGAGGAAAGCGGAAUUCCACGUGUAGCGGUGAAAUGCGUAGAGAUGUGGAGGAACACCAGUGGCGAAGGCGGCUUUCUGGUCUGUAACUGACGCUGAGGCGCGAAAGCGUGGGGUAGCAAACAGGGAUUAGAUACCCUGGUAGUCCACGCCGUAAACGAUGAGUGCUAAGUGUUAGGGGGUUUCCGCCCCCUUAGUGCUGCAGCUAACGCAUUAAGCACUCCGCCUGGGGAUACGGCCGCAAGGCUG